AUACGGAGGGUCCAAGCGUUAUCCGGAAUCAUUGGGUUUAAAGGGUGCGCAGGCGGUUUAAUAAGUCAGUGGUGAAAUCUCGGGGCUCAACCUCGAAACUGCCAUUGAUACUGUUAAACUUGAGUUCAGUUGGGGUAGGCGGAAUGUGUAGUGUAGCGGUGAAAUGCUUAGAUAUUACACAGAACACCGAUAGCGAAGGCAGCUUACUAAACUGAUACUGACGCUGAGGCACGAAAGCGUGGGGAGCGAACAGGAUUAGAUACCCCAGUAGUCC
rnacentral:rRNA from 1 species